UACGUAGGUGGCAAGCGUUGUCCGGAUUUACUGGGCGUAAAGAGCGCGCAGGCGGUCAGAUAAGUCGAAUGUGAAAGCCCCCGGCUCAACUGGGGAGGGUCAUUCGAUACUGUUCGACUCGAAGGCAGGAGAGGGAAGCGGAAUUCCCGGUGUAGUGGUGAAAUGCGUAGAUAUCGGGAGGAACACCGGUGGCGAAGGCGGCGUUCUGGACUGCAACUGACACUGAGGAACGAAAGCCAGGGGAGCAAACGGG
rnacentral:rRNA from 1 species